UACGGGGGGAGCAAGCGUUGUUCGGAUUUACUGGGCGUAAAGGGCGCGUAGGCGGCCACCGCAAGUCGAUUGUGAAAUCUCCGGGCUUAACCCGGAAAGGUCAACCGAUACUGCGGGGCUAGAGUGCGGAAGGGGCAACUGGAAUUCUCGGUGUAGCGGUGAAAUGCGUAGAUAUCGAGAGGAACACCUGCGGCGAAGGCGGGUUGCUGGGCCGACACUGACGCUGAUGCGCGAAAGCCAGGGGAGCGAACGGG
rnacentral:rRNA from 1 species